rnacentral:misc_RNA from 1 species
GAUGAAGAACGUAGCGAAAUGCGAUACGUAAUGUGAAUUGCAGAAUUCAGUGAAUCAUCGAGUCUUUGAACGCACAUUGCGCCCCCUGGUAUUCCGGGGGGCAUGCCUGUCCGAGCGUCAUUACAACCCUCAGGCCCCCGGGCCUGGCGUUGGGGAUCGGCGGAGCCCCCCGUGGGCACACGCCGUCCCCCAAAUACAGUGGCGGUCCCGCCGCAGCUUCCAUCGCGUAGUAGCUAACACCUCGCGACUGGAGAGCGGCGCGGCCACGCCGUAAAACACCCAACUCUUCUGAAGUUGACCUCGAAUCAGGUAGGAAUACCCGCUGAACUUAAGCAUAUCAAUAAGCGGAGGA